rnacentral:lncRNA from 1 species
CUCCAGUCCAUGCCUCGCGUCGUAUAGCACUGCGGGCUUCUUGCUUGCCUGGAGGCAGACCACAGGCCGUCUUGAGGAAGACUUUAUGUUCAAGUACAGAAAGCAGCCAGGAUUACCAUCCAGGGGGGCCUUCUGUAGCCCUGGCCAGACCUUGCAGAGGUGGCUGGUUGCUCUUUGACUCAGCUUGGCCUCCCUGGCAUGCACAGGCCCCAGGUACUAACAUGCUGCUCCGAGUGAGCUUGUCCUGCCUUGGCUGCCACCUAAUUGCUGAUGGAGCAGAAGCCUUAGGAAAAGCAGAUGGCACUGUGGCCCACCUUUAGGGUAGAAGAACUGAUGUACCAUGUCCGGCCGCUAGUGGGUGAGUGGUGCACCUGCUCCUGGCACACCCUUGCAGAGGUGGCUGGUUGCUCUUUGAGCCAGCUUGGCCUUCCCUGGCAUGCACAAGCCUCAGUGCAACAACUGUGCUACAAAUGGAGCCACAGAGAGGAAACGAGCAGCAGGGUCAGGAGCAGGGUGUGCGCUGCCUUUGGGGCUCCAGUCCAUGCCUCGGGUCGUAUAGUACUGCGGGCUUCUUGCUUGCCUAGAGGCAGACCACAGGCCGUCUUGAGGAGGACUUUAUGUUCAAGUGCAGAAAGCAGCCAGGAUUACCACCCAGGGGACUUGGCCUUCUGUGGCCCUGUCCAGACUUAGAAUUUGUGUCAAGGCAGGAGAAGCUCACUCGGAGCAGCGUGUUAGUACCUGGGGCCUGUGCAUGCCAGGCAAGGCCAAGCUGGCUCAAAGAGCAACGAGGCACCUCUGCAAGGGUGCGCCUGGACCAAUUGUACCAGCCACCAACCUCACCCACUGAAGGAAGCAGGGAUGGCCAGGUUACAACAGCCUGAGUGGCUGCCACCUGGGGGCUGAUGGAGCAGAGGCCUGAGGAAACUCAGAUGGCACAUUUAACUCUUUAAUGGAUCUUAAGUUAAUUUUUCUAUAAAGCAGAUGUCACCAGUCCAUGCCUCAGGCUUGUAUGGCACUGCGGAGCACAGAAGGGCGAGUCCCCUGGGUGGUAAUCUUGGCUGCUUUCUGCACUUGAACAUAAAGUCCUCCUCAAGACGGCCUGUGGUCUGCCUCUUGGCCCUACCUUUAGGGUAGAAGAACCGAUGUACCAUGUCCGGCGGCGAGUGAGGUUGGUGGCUGGUCCGGCUGCUCCUGGCACACCCUUGCAGAUGUGGCUGGUUGCUGUUUGAGCCAGCUUGGCCUUGCCCGGCAUGCACAAGCCUCAGUGCAACUACUCUGCUACAAAUGGAGCCACAGAGAGGGAAUGAGCAGCGGGCUCAGCAGCAGGGUGUGUGCUGCCUUUGGGGCUCCAGUCCAUGCCUCAGGGGUCAUAUGACACUGCAGGCUUCUUGGUUACCAGGAGGCACACAACAGGCCAUCUCGAGGAGGACUUUAUGUUCAAGUGCAGAAAGCAGCCAGGAUUACCAUCCAGGGGACUCGGCCUUCUGUGGCCCUGGCCAGACUCAGAAUUUGUGCCAAGGCAGGACAAGCUCACUCGGAGCAGCGUGUCAGUAGCUGGGACCUAUGCAUGCCAGACAAGGCCAAGCUGGCUCAAAGAGCAACCAGCCACCUCUGCAAGGGUGUGCCAAGAGCAGGUGGACCAGCCAGCAACCUCAGCUACUCAAGGAAGCUGGGAUGGCCAGUUUCUAACAGCAUGAGUGGCUGCCUCCUGAUGGCUGAUGGAGCAGAGGCCUUAGGAAAAGCAGAUGGCCCUAGUGGCCCUACCUUUAGGGGAGAAGUACUGAUGUGCCACAGAGAGGAAACGAGCAGCAGGCUCAGGAGCAGGCUGUGCGCUGCCUUUGGGGCUCCAGUCCAAGCCUCGAGUCGUAUAGCACUGCGGGCCUCUUGGUUGCCUAGAGGCAGAAAACAGGCCAUCUUGAGGAGGACUUUAUGUUCAAGUGCAGAAAGCAGCCAGGAUUACCAUCCAGGGGACUCGGCCUUCUGUGGCCCCGGCCAGACCUUGCAGAGGUGGCUGGUUGCUCUUUGAGCCAGCUUCACCUCCCUUGCAUGCACAGGCCCCAGGCACUAACACGCUGCUCUGAGUGAGCCUGUCCUGCCUUGGCUGCCACCUAAUUGCUGAUGGAGCAGAGGCCUUAGGAAAAGCAGAUGGCACUGUGGCCUACCUUCAGGGUAGAAGAACUGAUGUACCUUGCCCGGCAUGCACAAGUCUCAGUGCAACAACUGUGCUACAAAUGGAGCCACAGAGAGGAAAUGAGCGGCAGACUUAGGAGCAGGGUGUGUGCUGCCUUUGGGGCUCCAGUCCAUGCCUCGGGUCGUAUGGCACUGCAGGCUUCUUGGUUGCCAAGAGGCAGACCACAGGCCGUCUUGAGGAGGACUUCAUGUUCAAGUGCAGAAGGCAGCCAGGAUUACCAUCCAAGGGACUCAGCCUUCUGUGGCCCUGGCCACACUCAGAAUUUGUGCCAAGGCAGGACAAGCUCACUUGGAGCAGUGUGUCAGUAGCUGGGCCUAUGCAUGCCAGGCAAGGCCAAGCUGGCUCAAAGAGCAACCAGCCACCUCUGCAAGGGUGUGCCAGGAGCAGGUGGACCAGCCAGCAACCUCAGCUACUCAAGGAAGCUGGGAUGGCCAGGUUCCAACAGCCUGAGUGGCUGCCUCCUGAUGGCUGAUGGAGCAGAGGCCUUAGGAAAAGCAGAUGGCCCUGUGGCCCUACCUUUAGGGUAGAAGUACUGAUGUGCCAUGUCCGGUAGCAAGUGAGGUUGGUGGCUGGUGCACCGGCUCCUGGCGCACCCUUGCAGAAGUGACUGGUUGCUCUUUGAGUCAGCUUGGCCUUGCCUGGCAUGCACAAGCCUCAGUGCAACAACAGUGCUACAAAUGGAGCCAUAGAGAGGAAACGAGCAGCAAGCUCAGGAGCAGGGUGUGCGCUGCCUUUGGGGCUCCAGUCCCUGCCUUGAGUCGUAUAGCACUGCGGGCUUCUUGCUUGCCUGGAGGCAGACUACAGGCCGUCUUGAGGAAGACUUUAUGUUCAAGUACAGAAAGCAGCCAGGAUUACCAUCCAGGGGGGCCUUCUGUAGCCCUGGCCAGACCUUGCAGAGGUGGCUGGUUGCUCUUUGAGUCAGUUUGGCCUCCCUGGCAUGCACAGGCCCCAGGUACUAAGAUGCUGCUCCGAGUGAGCUUGUCCUGCCUUGGCUGCCACCUAAUUGCUGAUGGAGCAGAAGCCUUAGGAAAAGCAGAUGGCACUGUGGCCCACCUUUAGGGUAGAAGAACUGAUGUACCAUGUCCGGCCGCUAGUGGGUGAGUGGUGCACCUGCUCCUGGCACACCCUUGCAGAGGUGGCUGGUUGCUCUUUGAGCCAGCUUGGCCUUCCCUGGCAUGCACAAGCCUCAGUGCAACAACUGUGCUACAAACGGAGCCACAGAGAGGAAACGAGCAGCAGGGUCAGGAGCAGGGUGUGCGCUGCCUUUGGGGCUCCAGUCCAUGCCUCGGGUCGUAUAGUACUGCGGGCUUCUUGCUUGCCUAGAGGCAGACCACAGGCCGUCUUGAGGAGGACUUUAUGUUCAAGUGCAGAAAGCAGCCAGGAUAACCUUCCAGGGGACUUGGCCUUCUGUGACCCUGGCAGACUCAGAAUUCGUGCCAAUGCAGGACAAGCUCACUCGGAGCAGCGUGUUUGUACCUGGGGCCUAUGCAUGCCAGGCAGGUCCAAGCUGGCUCAAAGAGCAACCAGCCACCUCUGCAAAGGUGUGCCAGGAUCAGGUGGACCAGCCACCAACUUCAGCCACUGAAGGAAGCAGGGAUGGCCAGGUUCCAAGAGCCUGAGUGGCUGUCUCCUGAUGGCUGAUGGAUCAGAGGCCUUAGGAAAAGCAGAUGGCCCUGUGGCCCUACCUUUAGGGUAGAAGUACUGAUGUGCCAUGUCCGGUAGCAAGUGAGGUUGGUGGUUGGUGCAGCGGCUCCUGGCGCACCCUUGCAGAAGUGACUGGUUGCUCUUUGAGCCAGCUUGGCCUUGCCUGGCAUGCACAAGCCUCAGUGCAACAACAGUGGUACAAAUGGAGCCACAGAGAGGAAACGAGUGGCAGACUUAGGAGCAGGGUGUGCGCUGCCUUUGGGGCUCCAGUCUAUGCCUCGGGUCCUAUGGCACUGUGGGCUUCUUGGUUGCCAAGAGGCAGACCACAGGCUGUCUUGAGGAAGACUUUAUGUUGAAGUGCAGAAAGCAGCCAGGAUUACCACUCAGGGGACUCGGCCUUCUGUGGCCCUGGCCAGACUUAGAAUUUGUGCCAAGGCAGGACAAGCUCACUUGGAGCAGCGUGUUAGUACCUGGGGCCUGUGCAUGCCAGGCAAGGCCAAGCUGGCUGAAAGCAGAACCAGCCACCUCUACAAGGGUGCGCCUGGACCAGUUGGACCAGCCACCAGCUUCACCCACUGAAGGAAGCCGGGAUGGCCAGGUUCCAACAGCCUGAGUGGCUGUCUCCUGAUGGCUGAUGGAGCAGAGGCCUUAGGAAAAGCAGAUGGCCUUGUGGCCCUACCUUUAGGGUAGAAGUACUGAUGUGCCAUGUCUGGCAGCAAGUGAGGUUGGUGGCUGGUGCACCGGCUCCUGGCACACCCUUGCAGAGGUGACUGGUUGCUCUUUGAGCCAGCUUGGCCUUGCCUGGCAUGCACAAGCCUCAGUGCAACAACAGUGCUACAAAUGGAGCCACAGAGAGGAAACAAGCAGCAGGCUCAGGAGCAGGGUGUGCGCUGCCUUUGGGGCUUCAGUCCAUGCCUCAGGCGUCAUAUGGCACUGCGGGCUUCUUAGUUGCCAAGAGGCAGACCACAGGCCGUCUUGAGGAGGACUUCAUGUUCAAGUGCAGAAAGUAGCCAGGAUUAGCAUCUAGGGGACUCGGCCUUCUGUGGCCCUGGCCAGACUUAGAAUUUGUGUCAAGGCAGGACAAGCUCACUCGGAGCAGCAUGUUGCUACCUGGGGCCUGUGCAUGCCAGGCAAGGCCAAGCUGGCUCAAAGAGCAACCAGUCACCUCUGCAAGGGUGCGCCUGUGGUCUGGAUGGUGGUGGCUCCCUGUGUUAGUCCUCCAAGCCCAUAUUUUCCUUCUGCACUGGCCUCACAGAGGUUUCCGAAGAAGCUCUGCCUCUGCAGCAUGCUUCUGCCUGGAAACAAUGGGAGGUAGUUUUGCAGGGUGGAAGCCUUCACCAAUGGUUAAACAGCAUCUUCAUGAUGCUGACCUCGUGAUAGUGAGUUCUCAUGAGAUCUGCUUGUAUAACAUGAUGUGGCACUUCUUUCCUCUCUCUGUCUUGCUCCUUCUCCUGCUGUAUGAAACAUCUCCUUGCCGCUUGGUCUUCUAGUAUGAUUGGGAGCACCUGAGUCCUCCCAGAAGCAGAAACCACUAUGCUUCCUUUGCAGCCUGCAGAACUGUGAGCCAAUGAAACCUCUUUUCUUUUUGAUCAUACAGAAGGUUAGUACUGUGAAGUGAAGCUAUGAAAUUCCUUCAAGGCCUUUUCCCUAUGAAAUGCCUUCAAGGCCUUUUCCCCAUUGUCUUGGCAAGCAGCACUCAGCUUCUUUUCAUGCAAAUAUCUGAAGCCUAUGUGAUUUUUUUCCCUGAAAAUGGACUUUUCUUCUUUUACCACAUUGCCAGGCUGUGACACAGAGAGCUGAUAAUGUAGAAGCAGGUUCAGUAGUGGGUAAAAGACAGAGGUCGGGAGAGUUGGGAAAGCUUAAAAGACAGCAAGAUGAGGAAAAGCUUGGACCACUGUAGAGAAUUGUUAAAUACUUGUGAUCAGAAGGCUGACAGAAGGAUGGACAGUGAAGGCCAGACUUAAAAGUUCUCGGAUGAAAACCAGGAAUUUCCUGUGAAUAGGAGCCAAUACUACAUUUGAUUUGCCCAACAGAGGCUGCACAGUGACCUUGCCCUGGAGAUCUGUGAAACUAUGAACUUGGGGGUGAUGAUUUAGGAUGUAUCUUGUGGAAUGAACAUCUGAGCAGCAUAGCUCAAGAGGUGUCCUGUCUGCGUCGAACAGCCUGUGUUGUUAUGUAUGAGCUAAGAAAUGACCUCAAAUUGGAACUUCUACUUAAAUGAGAAGCAGAGCUCAAAAGUUUGGAAAAUUUGCAGCCUAGUCAAGUGGUCAAAAAGAAAAGCUGAUUUUCAGGGGGAAAAUUCAAUACGGCUUAGAGUAUUUGCAUAAAAAGGAGCUUAGUGCAAGUAUCCAAGACAAAGGGUAAAAGGCCUUGGAGGCAUUUCAGAGACCUUUGCAGUAGCUCUUGCUCUCACAGGCCCUGGGGCCUAGCAGAGAAGAAUGGCUUCCUGGGCCAGCUCCAUGGCCCUGCUGCUGUGUGCAUCCUCAGGACACUGCUGCCUGCAUCCCUGCAGCCCCAGCUCCAGCCAUGGCUGAAUGAUGCACAGGUACAGCUUGGGUCACUACUUCAGAUGUGGCUCCAAGCCUUGAUGGCUUCCACAUAGUGUUAAGGCAGCAGGUGAAGAGAGCAAGAGACUAGAGGCUUUGGAGCCUCUUGUCUGGACUCCAGAGGAUGUAGAGAAAAGCCUGGGUGUCCAGGCAGUAGCCUUUCCAAGAGGCUCAUGGAAAACCUCUGCUAGGGCAGCAAAGAAGGGCCAUGUAGGGUUGAAGCCCCCUCACAGGGAGGCUCCAUUCUCCAAACCCCAGAUUCAUAGACCCACCAACAUCUUGCACCCUCAGUGUGGAAAAGCUACAGGCAUUCAAAACAGCCCUGUCCAUGAGAGGCAGCUGUGGGUGCUGAACGCUGCGAAGCCACAGGUACAGAUCUGCCCAAGGCCUUGGGAGCCCAGCCCUCACAGCCCUGUGCCAUGGAUGUGGGACGAGGAUUCAAAAAGGAUGAUUUUGGAGCUGUCGGAUUGAAUGACUGGCCUGCUGGGUUUUGGAUGUUCAUGUAUCCUGUGAGUCCCAUCUGUGUUUUGUUUUUCUUUCUGGCAUUUUUUUUCUACUGGCUGGGAAUGCUUACCCAUUGCCUGUACAAUCAUUGUGCCUUGGAAUUAGUUAACUUGCUUUAUAAUUCAGAAACUCAGGGGCAGAUCGGACUGUAGCCUUGUCUCAGACGAGACUUUGGGCUUUGGACAUUUGAGUAAAUGCUGGAAUUAUUUAAGAUUUGGGGGACUGUAGGGAAGGUAUCAUUGUAUUCUGCAAUGUAAGAAACAGGAGAUUUGGGGGACCAGGGACAGAAUAAUAUGAUUUGGCUCUGUGUCCCUACCAAAGCUCAUGUGGAAUUGUAAUGGGCAAAGUUAAAGGUGGGGACUGGUGGAAGGUGAUUUAAUCAUGGUGGAGAGUGGAGUUUGGAAGGUGGGGGUGGUUGGGAGCAUUGGGGGUGAUUGUGUUGGGGUUGCAGGGAAAGGCAGAGGUGGGGGGCAGAUUCUUCACAAAUGGUUAAACACCAUCUUUGUAAUGCUGUCCUUCUGAUAGUGAGUUUGCUUCAUGGUUUAGGAGCUUUGAGAUUUGAAUACUGGCCUGCUGGGUUUUGGAUGUGCAUUGGGCCUGUGGUCCCAUUUGUGUUAUUUUUCUGGGAAAUUUCUUCCCUUUGGAGUGAGAAAGCUUACCCAAUGCCUGUACCAUCAUCGUACCUUAAAAGAACUCCAUUUUAAGUUCAGGGACUCCUUGGCAGAAGAGACCGUAGCCUUGUAUCAGAUAAGACUUUGAACUUCUUACAUUUGAGUUAAUGCUGGAAUGAGUUAAGGCUUUUGUAAACAUUUGAAAAGGCAUGACUGUAUUUUACUCUGUGAGAAUGACAUGAGAUUCGGGGGAGGGGGUCAAGGUCAGAAUAAUAUGGUUUGGCUGUGUUUCCCUAGAAAAACUCAUGUGGAAUUGCAAUCCCGAAUGUUGGAGGUGGAGCCUGGUGGGAGGUGAUUUAAUCAUGGAUGGGAGGUGGGUGGGGUUGGAGGGAAAAAGAGGUGGGUAGCGUGGUGAGGAGUAAGCUCGCUGUAGGGUGGUGGGAGGGUGGGGGUAGUAGGAAGGAGGAGUAGCCUGCUGCAGAGGCAGAGGCUCGUAGAAAACCUCUGCUAGGACUGUGCACCUGUGGCUUUGCAGGGUGUAGCCCCCGUGGCUGCUCUCAUGGGCUGGGCUGGUGUUGAGUGCCGGUAGCUUUUCCAUACUGAAGGUGCGAGCUGUUGAUGGGUCUAUGAAUCUGGGCUCUGGAGGAUGGUGACCUCCUGCAUAGGGGCUCCAAGCCCAAAUUUUUCUUCUGCACUGCCAUAGUACAGGUUUUCCAAGAGGCUCAGGCUCUGCCUCAGGCUUCUGUCCGGAAACAGGAGGGGGUGGAGGUGGGUUGGGGACGGAUCCUUCACUAAUGAUUAAGCACCAUCUUCUUGAUGCUGACCUCGUGAUAGUGAGUUCUCAUGAACUUCCUCAUAGUGUUAAGCCACUGGUUGGAUGGAGCAUGAGCCUAGGGGCUUGGGAGGCUCUGUAUAGAUUUUGGAGGAUGUAUGGAAAUGUCUGGGUGUCUAGGCAAAAGCCUUCCUAAAAGGCAGAACCUCAUAAGAAACCUCUACUAGGGCAGUGCAGAAGGAAAAUAUGGGGUUGGAGCCCCCACACUGGAGGCCACCAUCAUGAAGACCGCAGAUUAAUAGACCCCGCAACAGCUUGUACCGUCAGUGGGUAAAAGCUACAGGCGCUCAACACCAGCCCAGCCCAUGAAGACAGCCGUGGGGUAUAAACCCUGCAAAGCCACAGGUGCAGAGCUGCCCAAGGCCUUGGGAGCCCAGCCCUUACAUCCCUGUGCCCUGGAUGUGGGACAAGGUUUCAAAAAGGGUAAUUUUGGAGCUGUAGGAUUGAAUGACUGGCCUUCUGGGUUUGGAGUUUCAUGGGGCCUGUGAGUCCUUUCUGUGUUUUGUUCUUUCUGGCAAAAUUAUUCCUUUUGGCUGGGAAUGCUUACCCAUUGCCUGUAUAAGCAUUGUACCUUGGAAGUAGUUAACUUUCUUUAUAUUUCAGAGGCUCAUGAGCCUAAGGGUCUGCAGCCUUGUGUUAGAUGAGACUUUAAGCUUUGAACAUUUGUAUAAAUGAUGAAAUGAUAUAAGACUUUGGGGGACUGUAGGGAAGCUAUCAUUGUAGUUUGCAAUGUGAGAAGGACAUGAGAUUUGGGGAGCCAGGGAGAGAAUAAUAAAAUUUAGCUCUGUGUCCCUACCAAAAUUCGUGUGGAAUUGUAAUGGGGAAUGUUAAAGGUGGGGCCUGGUGGAAGGUGAUUUAAUCAUGGUGGAGAGUGGGGGUUGGGAGGUGGGGGAUAGGGAGAAUGGGGAGAUUAUGUUGGGGGUGAGGGGUGAAAAGUGAUGGUGGCUCCUUCACAAAUGAUUAGACACAAUCUCCUUAUUUCUGUCCUUGUGAUGGUGAGUUCUCUUCAUGAUUUUGGAGCAGUGAGAUUGAAUGGAUACUGGUCUCCUGGGUUUUGGACUUGCAUUGGUCCUGUGGUCCCAUCUGUGUUAUUUUGCUGGGAAAUUUCUUCCCGUUGGACUGAGAAAGCUUACCCAAUGGGUGUACCAUCAUUGUGUCUUAAAAGAACACCCUUUUAAAUUCAGGGACUUAUAGGCAAAAGGGACUGUAGGCUUGUCUCAGAUGAGACGUUGAACCUUUUACAUUUGAGUUAAUGCUGGAAUGAGUUAAGACUUUUGGCAACUUUUGAAAAGGUGUGAUUGUAUUUUGCUCUGUGAGAAGGACAUGAGAUUCGGAGGGGUCAGGGUCAGAAUAACAUGGUUUGGCUGUGUUUCCCUACAGAAACUCAUGUGAAUUGUAAUCUUGAAUGUUGGAGAUGGGGCCUGGUGGAAGGUGAUUUAACCAUGGAUGGGAGGGGGUUGGAAUUGGAAGGAAAUAAAGUGGAUAGUGUUGGGAGGAGUGGGUUGUCAGUAGGGUGGUGAGAGGAUGGUGGGUAUUAGGAAGCGGGAGUAGCCUGCUGCAGAGUCACAUCCUUAUGGAAAACCUCUGCUAGGGCAGUGCUCCUGUGGCUUUGCAGGCUUUAGCCCCCAUGGCUGCUCUCAUGGGCUGGGCUGGUGUUGAGUGCUUUUGCAUACUGAGGGUGCGGGCUGUUGGUGGGCUUAUGAAUCUGGGGUCUGGAGGAUGGUGGCCUCCUGUGUGGGGGCUCCAAGCCCAUAUUUCCCUUCUGCACUGCCAUAGUAGAAGUUUCCCAAGAGGCUCUGCCUCUGCAGGAGGCUUCUGCCUGGAAACAGUAGGCGGUGGUGUGUGUGGUGGAUCCUUCACCAGUGGUUAAUCUUCUUGAUGCUGAUCUGAUAUCCCAUCAGGGCCCUGGAUCCCAAGACUCAGCAUCCAAGGUCCCCUCCAGGAAUCCUGGCAGCUCAGCAUACUUUAUUCUGUUUCAUCUGAGAGCAAAAAUGUAAAAUUGGAUGCACAGAAAAGUGACUCAAAGUGCUUAAUGACUAGAAGAAAUCUAGGAGCAGCAAGAAGGUAAU